CCCUAUCUGCCGUGGGCGUUUGAGAAUUGAGAGGGGUUGCUCCUAGUACGUGAGGAGCGGAGUGAAGUAACCGCUGGUGUUCGGGUUGUCAUGCCAAUGGCAUUGCCCGGUAGCUACGUUCGGAACUGAUAAGCGCUGAAAGCAUCUAAGCGCGAAGCAGGCCUCGAGAUGAGUUCUCACUAGACUUUUAAAGUCUCUGAAGGGCCGUUGAAGACUACAACGUUGAUAGGCAAGAUGUGGAAGCAUGGUGACAUGUUAAGCUAACUUGUACUAAUUACCCGUGAGGCUUAACCAUACAACGCCAAACGCGUUU
rnacentral:rRNA from 1 species